CAGAAGGCAGCGGGAGAGACAACGAAUACCGUCCUACGGGCAUCAGACAAAAAUUCGAAAACAACUUUGAAUAUUGCACGAGAAGAUGGCAUCAGAACACCUCCGUGUCAUCUAAAUGGUCUGUGCUCAGUGCUGGAACACCCAAGUGGAGCUGGUCUCCCGGGAGAUCUGCGGGACACCCAUCUUACAAGCUGUAAUGCCGCUUUAACCCAUUGCUGGGGAGGGACCGUUCACACUACCCCGAUUUAAGACCAAAUACUCCUAAUCCCGCUGAUGUCCCACACUAUAUUAACGCACAACACAGACGCUUAAUCUACGCCCUAAAGUUAGAAAGGCAGUUUCACUGCAAUAUGCCGAAUAGGAUUAGGUUAGUCUUUGUAAUAGUCUUUAAGGCAUUUUAAACGCCGGGCAAUGCGAUUACAUGUAAAAGUAUUAUAUUCUCCCCCAAAACAGAUAAAAAAGUUCAUACAACAAUAACAAUUAUACUAACUAUUUAAAUCAAAAUAUAGUUGUAUGCUGGGAUUAAAUUAUUAUUAUUUGUAAUUGUAAAAAAUGUUUAAAUCAUUCACUCUUGCUUGUUUUGUUUAGUUUAAAUGUUUUUGGAAUACUUCCAUAUUUAUCUAUUGGUCAUUUUAUGACAAUGUCAGAACACAUUUUAUCGCCUAAAGAUGACCUUGAACUUGUUGUGUAUAUUUGAAGAAAUAAAAAUGUGAAAAAG
ensembl:lincRNA linc.alien linc RNA alien